CUUUGAUCCACCAGUAAUCACUUCCCAGAUGGGGUUCCAUUGAUUUUGCCCACUGAGCACUGAUUUUAAUUUCUCCCCACAAUUACUGUGAACGUUAUAAACUGCACAUUCUUAUUUAUAUGUAAGAAGUAAACGAUGCCAUAUGAUGCUAAUCUAAUUACAUCUCACUUCUUAUUGCAGACACAGGAUCUAGUGACAGGCACCACGGGGAAGUAAUUCUCCUUUAUGUUAAAAAAAACCCAAACCUUUUCAUUUGAUGAUUAUAUCAUCCACGGCCUGGGAUGUGAUCCCUGAAUGUCAGGAAUGAAAGAAUAGUAGAGAAGUCCAGCAAGGAAAAUGGAGGUUGCCUCAUCUUGCUCAUACUAUAGGAUAUCAGAUAUCAAAAAGAGCAUGUUCUCUUACUGGAUGUGUGUCAGUUUGUAUCUUUCAUUGUGUGUAUAUGUAUGUAUAUCUGCAUGUGUGUGUGUGUAUGUGUGAGGCAUUGUAUAUGUAUAUGUGCAUACAUCUCAGAACUCAAACGUCAACACUACAUACAAACAGGCCACUCUAUUCAAAGACAAACACUACACACAAGUAAACCACUGCUUUCAAAUGGCAACAGUACAUAAAAACAUACAACACUACAUACAAAUACACCCCUAAAUUCACACACACAUACUCCCUGCAAAAAUAUGCUUACAUUCAAACACACAAACACUGCUGAGUGGUAAAUACAACCUUGGCCAUCCUUAUGAUUGGGGAGGAGAAGGAGGUGGG